AAAUUGAAGAGUUUGAUCAUGGCUCAGAUUGAACGCUGGCGGCAGGCCUAACACAUGCAAGUCGAGCGGUAGCACAGAGAGCUUGCUCUCGGGUGACGAGCGGCGGACGGGUGAGUAAUGUCUGGGAAACUGCCUGAUGGAGGGGGAUAACUACUGGAAACGGUAGCUAAUACCGCAUAAUGUCGCAAGACCAAAGUGGGGGACCUUCGGGCCUCAUGCCAUCAGAUGUGCCCAGAUGGGAUUAGCUAGUAGGUGGGGUAACGGCUCACCUAGGCGACGAUCCCUAGCUGGUCUGAGAGGAUGACCAGCCACACUGGAACUGAGACACGGUCCAGACUCCUACGGGAGGCAGCAGUGGGGAAUAUUGCACAAUGGGCGCAAGCCUGAUGCAGCCAUGCCGCGUGUGUGAAGAAGGCCUUCGGGUUGUAAAGCACUUUCAGCGGGGAGGAAGGCGGUGAGGUUAAUAACCUCAC
rnacentral:rRNA from 1 species